UACGUAGGGGGGCAAGCGUUGUCCGGAUUUAUUGGGCGUAAAGAGCGUGUAGGCGGCUUUACAGGUCCGUUGUGAAAACUCGAGGCUCAACCUCGAGACGCCGGUGGAAACCGUAAAGCUAGAGUCCGGAAGAGGAGAGUGGAAUUCCUGGUGUAGCGGUGAAAUGCGCAGAUAUCAGGAGGAACACCCGUGGCGAAAGCGGCUCUCUGGGACGGUACUGACGCUGAGACGCGAAAAGCGUUGGGGAGCAAACAGG
rnacentral:rRNA from 1 species